rnacentral:rRNA from 1 species
GGGAAUCUACCCAUCUCUGCGGAAUAGCUCCGGGAAACUGGAAUUAAUACCGCAUACGCCCUACGGGGGAAAGAUUUAUCGGGGAUGGAUGAGCCCGCGUUGGAUUAGCUAGUUGGUGGGGUAAAGGCCUACCAAGGCGACGAUCCAUAGCUGGUCUGAGAGGAUGAUCAGCCACAUUGGGACUGAGACACGGCCCAAACUCCUACGGGAGGCAGCAGUGGGGAAUAUUGGACAAUGGGCGCAAGCCUGAUCCAGCCAUGCCGCGUGAGUGAUGAAGGCCUUAGGGUUGUAAAGCUCUUUCACCGGUGAAGAUAAUGACGGUAACCGGAGAAGAAGCCCCGGCUAACUUCGUGCCAGCAGCCGCGGUAAUACGAAGGGGGCUAGCGUUGUUCGGAAUUACUGGGCGUAAAGCGCACGUAGGCGGAUAUUUAAGUCAGGGGUGAAAUCCCAGAGCUCAACUCUGGAACUGCCUUUGAUACUGGGCAUCUUGAGUAUGGAAGAGGUAAGUGGAAUUGCGAGU